rnacentral:sRNA from 1 species
UGAAUACUGAGACGAUCGGUUUGUGGU